rnacentral:snRNA from 1 species
GCUCUCUUCUGCAAAACAUGCACUAAAAUUGGAAUGAUACAGAGAAGAUUAGCAUGGCCCUUGUGCAAGGAUGACACACAAAUUAGUGCAGAAUUUCUUAUUUUU